UAAUCAUAUGUGAUGAUGAUGAUUGAUGUCUGUUGAUGGUAAUGUUGAUCUAUGCCUGUAAAUACAAAAGAGCAUCUGGAAAAG